UACGUAGGGGCGCAAGCGUUAUCCGGAAUUAUUGGGCGUAAAGAGCUCGUAGGCGGUUUGUCGCGUCUGCCGUGAAAGUCCGGGGCUCAACUCCGGAUCUGCGGUGGGUACGGGCAGACUAGAGUGAUGUAGGGGAGACUGGAAUUCCUGGUGUAGCGGUGAAAUGCGCAGAUAUCAGGAGGAACACCGAUGGCGAAGGCAGGUCUCUGGGCCGAUACUGACGCUGAGGAGCGAAAGCGUGGGGAGCGAACAGG
rnacentral:rRNA from 1 species